GCGAAGCCAACUUCAAGAUAAGAUUUCCCACCGCAAGGGGUAAGACCCCAGAAAGACUAUCUGGUUGAUAGGUCGAAGGUGUAAGUGCAGCAAUGUAUUUAGCUUAUCGAUACUAAUAGGUCGAGGACUUGACCAA
rnacentral:rRNA from 1 species